AAGAUGACAGAUAUCUAGUGUGUUUAUGAUCGUAUCUCAGAUUAGUUUUGUUGGUUUGCAGUGGAAAAGAUCACUGACUGACUGAACAUGAAUAUAAGUGAUGUAGUUAGACAUCAACAGCCUCAACAAUCAAACAGGACUCUGUUACCCAAUCCCCUGAGGGCAGGACAUGAUGUCACGACAGAGUGAAGAUUUGAUAGCACGAAGGUGCUCAAGGCAUGUGCUGAGCAGCUGUGUGGAGUCCUGCAGCACAUCUUCAACCUUAGCCUGACACUGGAAAAGGUCCCCACACUGAAAGACAUCAUGCGUGGUCCUGGUACCCAAGACUGGGCACCCCAAAGACAACAGACCAGUGGCCCUGACAUCCCACGUGAUGAAGACCCUUGUGAGACUCUCCCACCUCAGGCCCCUGGUCAGACCAGCGCUGGACCCCUGCAGUUUGCCUACCAGGAGAACAUCAGAGUGGACAACGCCAUCAUUUACCUGCUACACUGGGCUUAUUCCCACCUGGACAAAGCUGGGAGCACAGUGAGGAUCGUAUUCUUUGAUUUCUCCAGUGCUUUUAACACCAUACAGCCGCUCUUGUUGGGAGACAAGCUCAGUGCCAUGCAGGUGAACACUCCACUUGUGUCCUGGAUAACUGGAUUACCUGACCGGCAGCCCACAAUUUGUAAGACUGAGAAAGUGUGAUGAGCAACAAGGGGGCCCCCAUGGCACUGUUCUCUCCCCCUUCCUGUUUACUCUAUACACCUCUGACUUAAGCUACAACUCGGGAGUCAUGCCACCUGCAGAAGUUCUCUGAUGACUCUGCCAUUGUACGGUGUAUCAGUGGACAACAGGAGGAGGAAUACAGAGGCUUGGUGGAUGACUUUGUUGUGUGGUGCAGAUUGAACCAUCUGCAGCUGAACAUAAGACGAGGGACCUGAUUGUAGACUAAAUCUCCUCCGUUGGCCAUCAAAGAGGGAUAAAUAAAGUAUAUAUCUGUC